GACGAACGCUGGCGGCGUGCUUAACACAUGCAAGUCGAACGGAAAGGCCCUGCUUUUGUGGGGUGCUCGAGUGGCGAACGGGUGAGUAACACGUGAGUAACCUGCCCUUGACUUUGGGAUAACUUCAGGAAACUGGGGCUAAUACCGGCUAGGAGCUCCCGCUGCAUGGUGGGGGUUGGAAAGUUUCGGCGGUUGGGGAUGGACUCGCGGCUUAUCAGCUUGUUGGUGGGGUAGUGGCUUACCAAGGCUUUGACGGGUAGCCGGGCUGCGAGGGUGACCGGCCACAGUGGGACGGAGGUGCGGCCCAGACUCCUACGGGAGGCAGCAGUGGGGAGUGGUGCACGAUGGGCGGAGGGCUGGUGCAGCAACGCCGCGUGGGGGAUGAGGGCCUGCGGGUUGUGAACCGCUGUCGCCUGUGACGGAGCGUGAGUGACGGUAAUGGGUGAAGAAGCACCGGCUAACUACGUG
rnacentral:rRNA from 1 species